rnacentral:rRNA from 1 species
UACGGGAGGCAGCAGUGGGGAAUAUUGCACAAUGGGCGAAAGCCUGAUGCAGCUAUGCCGCGUGUAUGAAGAAGGCCUUAGGGUUGUAAAGUACUUUCAUCGGGGAGGAAAAAACAAAACUAAUAAUUUUAUUUCUUGACGUUACCCGAAAAAGAAGCACCGGCUAACUCCGUACCAGCAGCCGCGGUAAUACGGAGGGUGCUAGCGUUAAUCAGAAUUACUGGGCGUAAAGAGCACGUAGGUGGUUUUUUUAAGUUCAGAUGUGAAAUCCCUGGGCUUAACCUAGGAACUGCAUUUUGAAACUGAAAUACUAGAGUAUCGUAGAGGGAGGUAGAAUUCUAGGUGUAGCGGUGAAAUGCGUAGAUAUCUGGAGGAAUACCUGUGGCGAAAGCGGCCGUCCUAAACGAAUACUGACACUGAGGGUGCGAAAGCGUGGGGAGCAAACAGGGAUUAGAUACC